rnacentral:rRNA from 1 species
UAAUACGUAGGUGGCAAGCGUUGUCCGGAUUUACUGGGCGUAAAGCGCGCGCAGGCGGUGAAUGAAGUCGAAAGUGAAAGCCCCGGGCUCAACUCGGGAACUGCUUUCGAAACCAGUUCACUUGAAGGCGGAAGAGGGAAGUGGAAUUCCGAGUGUAGUGGUGGAAUGCGUAGAUAUUCGGAAGAACACCAGAGGCGAAGGCGACUUCCUGGUCCGAUCUUGACGCUGAGGCGCGAAAGCUAGGGGAGCAAACGGGAUUAGAUACCCCGGUAGUCCUAGCUGUAAACGAUGGAUACUAGGUGUUGGAGGUUUUAACCCCUCCGGUGCCGCAGCUAACGCAUUAAGUAUCCCGCCUGGGGAGUACGGCCGCAAGGCUAAACUCAAAGGAAUUGACGGGGCCCGCACAAGCAGCGGAGCGUGGGGUUUAAGUUCAUGAUACGCGAAGAACCUUACCAAGGCUUGACAUGCACAUGACCGCGGCGGAAACGUCGCUUUCCCGAAAGGGACGCGUGCACAGGUGUUGCAUGGCU